GCCGAGUAUAAUUAAUAAGAUACAUAAGUAGCCCAAUUGCACUUAGAUAUGGUACUUCAGGAUCAAGAAAUUCUUCUUUCUCUUCCUUAGGUUAAAAAGGAUCAUUUUUCAAAUCAAGUGAUCUUACAACCAUAGGGAAACUAAGUGGAUGAGUUUUAUUCAUGUAAAAAUACUUCAGAACCUUUUCAGUAUAUGCUGAU
rnacentral:lncRNA from 1 species